GCCGGAGUGAUGUAACUGGUAAACAUGCACGACUCAAAAUCGUGUGACCGCAAGGUCGUGAGGGUUCGACUCCCUCCUCCGGCACCA
rnacentral:tRNA from 1 species